rnacentral:rRNA from 1 species
GAUGAACGCUGGCGGCGUGCCUAAUACAUGCAAGUCGAGCGAAUGGAUUAAGAGCUUGCUCUUAUGAAGUUAGCGGCGGACGGGUGAGUAACACGUGGGUAACCUGCCCAUAAGACUGGGAUAACUCCGGGAAACCGGGGCUAAUACCGGAUAACAUUUUGAACCGCAUGGUUCGAAAUUGAAAGGCGGCUUCGGCUGUCACUUAUGGAUGGACCCGCGUCGCAUUAGUUAGUUGGUGAGGUAACGGCUCACCAAGGCAACGAUGCGUAGCCGACCUGAGAGGGUGAUCGGCCACACUGGGACUGAGACACGGCCAAGACUCCUACGGGAGGCAGCAGUAGGGAAUCUUCCGCAAUGGACGAAAGUCUGACGGAGCAACGCCGCGUGAGUGAUGAAGGCUUUCGGGUCGUAAAACUCUGUUGUUAGGGAAGAACAAGUGCUAGUUGAAUAAGCUGGCACCUUGACGGUACCUAACCAGAAAGCCACGGCUAACUACGUGCCAGCCGCCGCCGUAA